rnacentral:misc_RNA from 1 species
AGCAGCCGCGGUAAUUCCAGCUCCAAUAGCGUAUAUUAAAGUUGUUGCGGUUAAAAAGCUCGUAGUUGAAUUUCGGGAUCAGUACGCUGGUCAUGCCUUUGGUAUGCACUGGUGUCACUGGUUUCUCCCUUCUGAAGAUCCGUGAUGUCAUUAAUUUGGUGUCGCGGGGAAUCAGGACUGUUACUUUGAAAAAAUUAGAGUGUUUAAAGCAGGCUCACGCUUGAAUACAUUAGCAUGGAAUAAUGAAAUAGGACGUUUGACCCUAUUUUGUUGGUUUCUAGGAUCGACGUAAUGAUUAAUAGGGAUAGUUGGGGGCAUUAGUAUUCAAUUGUCAGAGGUGAAAUUCUUGGAUUUAUUGAAGACUAACUACUGCGAAAGCAUUUGCCAAGGAUGUUUUCAUUAAUCAAGAACGAAAGUUAGGGGAUCGAAGACGAUCAGAUACCGUCGUAGUCUUAACCAUAAACUAUGCCGACUAGGGAUCGGAUGAUGUUAAUUUUUUAAUGACUCAUUCGGCGCCUUA